rnacentral:rRNA from 1 species
UUCUCUUUUAGUAAGACGUUGUGAUCCAUUAGGAAUUGAUUGAUCCAUUUGUGUUAUCAAUCAUUGGGCUACCAAUAGUCUGAUAAUAUGAAUAUAUUAUCCGUUUUUCGAAAUGGAUUUAUAUCUAGUUAUGUACCCGAUCAACAACGGAUUCAUUUGGGAUACCUUUGGGACCCGUCUUGAAACACGGACCAAGGAGUCUAUCUAGUAUGCAAGUAAAUGGGAAUAUUUUGUAAACCUAUUUGCGUAAAUAACUUAACUGUUUUUAAAUGGGAUUACGAGUUAUAUUCUAAUACAAUGUACUCCUCCAUCCCGGGGUAUUUUCAUAAUAUAUAUGGGCAACUGUAUAUAGAAAAUAUACCAUGAGCAUACUGGAUAUGACCCGAAAGAUGGUGAACUAUGCCUGAUCAGGUUGAAGUCAGGGGAAACCCUGAUGGAGGACCGAAGCAAUUCUGACGUGCAAAUCG